rnacentral:tRNA from 1 species
UCCUUGGUGGCUCAGUCAGUAAAGAAUCUGCCUGCAAUGCAGGAGGCCCAGGUUUGAUCCCUGGGUGAGGAA